rnacentral:rRNA from 1 species
AGAGCCAGUAAGUUUUAGCUAGCGUAUUAGAGGAAUUGGCUGGGAAGCCAAAUCAAAGAGGGUGAUAAUCCCGUACUCGAAAGUAUGGUAGUGGAACUAAGCUUACGAUAAGUAAGGCGGGACACGAGAAAUCCUGUUUGAAGAUGGGGGGACCAUCCUCCAAGGCUAAAUACUCCUGAUUGACCGAUAGUGAACCAGUACUGUGAAGGAAAGGCGAAAAGAACCCCGGUGAGGGGAGUGAAAUAGAACCUGAAACCCUGUACGUACAAGCAGUAGGAGCGAGGGCAACCUUGUGACUGCGUACCUUUUGUAUAAUGGGUCAGCGACUUAUAUUUUGUAGCGAGGUUAACUGAAUAAGGGAGCCGAAGGGAAACCGAGUCUUAACUGGGCGUUGAGUUGCAAGGUAUAGACCCGAAACCCGGUGAUCUAGCCAUGGGCAGGUUGAAGGUUGGGUAACACUAACUGGAGGACCGAACCGACUAAUGUUGAAAAAUUAGCGGAUGACUUGUGGCUGGGGGUGAAAGGCCAAUCAAACCGGGAGAUAGCUGGUUCUCCCCGAAAUCUAUUUAGGUAGAGCCUUGAGCGGACACCUUCGGGGGUAGAGCACUGUUUCGGCUAGGGGUCCAUCCCGGAUUACCAACCCGAUGCAAACUGCGAAUACCGAAGAGUGAUACUCAGGAGACACACGGCGGGUGCUAACGUUCGUCGUGGAGAGGGAAACAACCCAGACCGCCAGCUAAGGUCCCCAAGUCUAUAUUAAGUGGGAAACGAAGUGGGAAGGCUUAGACAGCUAGGAUGUUGGCUUAGAAGCAGCCAUCAUUUAAAGAAAGCGUAAUAGCUCACUAGUCGAGUCGGCCUGCGCGGAAGAUGUAACGGGGCUCAAAUAUAGCACCGAAGCUGCGGCAUCAGAAUUUAUUCUGUUGGGUAGGGGAGCGUUGUGUAAGCGGAUGAAGGUGGCUCGAGAGGGUUGCUGGACGUAUCACAAGUGCGAAUGCUGACAUAAGUAACGAUAAAACGAGUGAAAAACUCGUUCGCCGGAAGACCAAGGGUUCCUGUCCAACGUUAAUCGGGGCAGGGUGAGUCGGCCCCUAAGGCGAGGCUGAAAAGCGUAGUCGAUGGGAAACGGGUUAAUAUUCCCGUACUUGGUAAAGCUGCGAUGUGGGGACGGAGAAGGUUAGGUAAGCGGACUGUUGGAUAUGUUCGUUUAAGCAGGUAGUUGGAAAGGGUAGGCAAAUCCGCUCUUUCAUACAACAACGAGACGUGAUGACGAGGCUCUACGGAGCUGAAGUUACCGAUACCCAGCUUCCAGGAAAAGCCACUAAGCGAAAGGCUUUACUAAACCGUACUGAAAACCGACACAGGUGGUCAGGUAGAGAAUACUCAGGCGCUUGAGAGAACUCGGGUGAAGGAACUAGGCAAAAUAGCACCGUAACUUCGGGAGAAGGUGCGCUUACAGUAAUUGUAGUCCCUUGCGGAUGAAGGUGAAGUAAGUCGAAGAUACCAGCUGGCUGCAACUGUUUAUUAAAAACACAGCACUCUGCAAACACGAAAGUGGACGUAUAGGGUGUGAUGCCUGCCCGGUGCUGGAAGGUUAAUUGAUGGUGUUAUCGAAAGAGAAGCUCCUGAUCGAAGCCCCAGUAAACGGCGGCCGUAACUAUAACGGUCCUAAGGUAGCGAAAUUCCUUGUCGGGUAAGUUCCGACCUGCACGAAUGGCAUAAUGAUGGCCAGGCUGUCUCCACCCGAGACUCAGUGAAAUUGAAAUCGCCGUGAAGAUGCGGUGUACCCGCGGCUAGACGGAAAGACCCCGUGAACCUUUACUAUAGCUUGACACUGAACAUUGAAUUUUGAUGUGUAGGAUAGGUGGGAGCCUUUGAAGCAGUGACGCCAGUCAUUGUGGAGGCGACCUUGAAAUACCACCCUUUAACGUUUGAUGUUCUAACGAAGUGCCUGAAACGGGUACUCGGACAGUGUCUGGUGGGUAGUUUGACUGGGGCGGUCUCCUCCCAAAGCGUAACGGAGGAGCACGAAGGUUUGCUAAUGACGGUCGGACAUCGUCAGGUUAGUGCAAUGGUAUAAGCAAGCUUAACUGCGAGACAGACAAGUCGAGCAGGUGCGAAAGCAGGUCAUAGUGAUCCGGUGGUUCUGAAUGGAAGGGCCAUCGCUCAACGGAUAAAAGGUACUCCGGGGAUAACAGGCUGAUACCGCCCAAGAGUUCAUAUCGACGGCGGUGUUUGGCACCUCGAUGUCGGCUCAUCACAUCCUGGGGCUGAAGUAGGUCCCAAGGGUAUGGCUGUUCGCCAUUUAAAGUGGUACGCGAGCUGGGUUUAGAACGUCGUGAGACAGUUCGGUCCCUAUCUGCCGUGGGCGUUGGAUGAUUGAUUGGGGCUGCUCCUAGUACGAGAGGACCGGAGUGGACGCAUCACUGGUGUUCCAGUUGUCUCGCCAGAGGCAUUGCUGGGUAGCUAAAUGCGGAAGAGAUAAGUGCUGAAAGCAUCUAAGCACGAAACUUGCCAAGAGAUGAGUCAUCCCUGACUUUAAGUCAGUAAGGGUUGUUGUAGACUACGACGUAGAUAGGUUGGGUGUGUAAGUGUAGUGAUACAUUGAGCUAACCAAUACUAAUUGCCCGAGAGGCUUAACCAU